CUGCAGUGCCACAGGCGCUCUUCUGUCCUGCCUUUCUUUGCAGCUGAACCUGCCGGUGAAGGUCCCACAUCCAGGACUGAGGCUCUGGGAGAUGCUGAGGGUGUGUCUGCAGGGAGGAGAUUCAUACAUCCUUUGGUGGUUAUUGCCAACAAGACCAGCCCCCAUGGCAUGGAGGAUGAUGCAAGACACAACAGAGAAGAUAUCCCUGGAACCAUCCAAACAGACGAGGCAAGUGCUGAAGAAAAUGCUGCAGGGAGGACAAGCUGGGUGCAUUUGCCUCAUGCUUCCCCUGGGACUCAGCAGCCGGGGGCUUUGGCUGCACAUCUGAACGCAUGGUUCCCGGCACAGCAGGAUGGGAUCCAUGGCCCAUUCCCAAUGAGGAAUGUUUCCAUCUGAUCCAGCUGUCUCUUUUCCA